rnacentral:rRNA from 1 species
UACGUAGGGCGCAAGCGUUGUCCGGAAUUAUUGGGCGUAAAGAGCUCGUAGGCGGCUUGUCACGUCGGAUGUGAAAGCCCGGGGCUUAACUCCGGGUCUGCAUUCGAUACGGGCUAGCUAGAGUGUGGUAGGGGAGAUCGGAAUUCCUGGUGUAGCGGUGAAAUGCGCAGAUAUCAGGAGGAACACCGGUGGCGAAGGCGGAUCUCUGGGCCAUUACUGACGCUGAGGAGCGAAAGCAUGGGGAGCGAACAGG